AUCCAGCUGACGAGUCCCAAAUAAAAUUAAAAAAAAACGCGCGUCAAACUGGAU
rnacentral:hammerhead_ribozyme from 1 species